GCGGCAUCGCCAAGAGGUGGGUGGUGUCCAUCCCGAAGCAAUCGGGCUCCCUUCUAUGUCUUAGUAUAUUUCGAUCCUGCAUCUUGUAUUAUUGCAUUAUAGGAUUAGUAUGUAUUGCCUUUCCUUAUGCCUUCCUUGAUAAUACCGUAGCAUGUAUUGGAUGUAGAGGAUUGGUGAGGAUUGGGUCGAGUUUUGUGAAUCCUAUAAUGUAGAGAAAAUGAUGAAUAAUGAACGAGUGGCA
rnacentral:lncRNA from 1 species